CUAAUGCGAUAAGAGAACAGCGGGGGAAGCGAGCACCGUAUGCGAAUGGCGCCUUCUCUGGACUUCCUUUCCAACUUCAAUCUCAGCUUCAAGGAGAAGACCUAAUCCCAAGUUUCUUUUGGUGGAGUUGGAGAAAGGAGGAGGCCACUGAUUGCUUGCUCAUGACGGCGAAGAGUACAGGCUUCGAAGCAGAAGAAGCUUCAGCUUCGAAGUUCUUGUUGGCCAUGUUUGGAUUAUGGGCCCAUAACUAUGAAGAGAUUAGCUGCACCGAUAUAAAAGAUGUCAUUGAGCUGCCUGCCCUUUAACACUAACGGAGACACUGGAGAUGGCGACUUCAUUGGAACACAGGUAGAAGUGAGGCUUUCGUGAAAGCAUUGAGCUGAGUGGAGAUGCCAUUACACUUCUGUCGUUGUUUAUUUUACAUCUUAAUGUCCCCACGGAAGUUCCAAUAAUGACUACAAAGCUUGGUGAGAGAUGGGUGCUGCAUUAAUCUUGAUUUACUGUUGUGCUUUCUUAGUGGAAUAUUUGGCUGGAGGAGUUCCAACGUAACUUGCCGGCCCUUUUUGUAGUGGAGGAUGUUCAAGGAGAAGUGCUUUCAGAACCACUUGUACUUUGCAAGUAGAUUGUUGUUUCGGUGGAAUAUCACUAUUUAGAGGACAAUGGGAAAUUUAGUUCCUGUGAAAGAUCAAGCAUUUCCCUGUUGCUUUCUACUAUAUAGUGAUGCAAGCCUUUAUGCUGACUGAUAUUUCCUUGUGGUAAAGUUGUGCUAUUGGAUGUAUGAGUCAGACAGUCUGAUCUAUAGAUAACAGACAGGGCUUCUCUUCCACAAUUGAUUUCAACUCAUGCAUGCAGGAGAUAUGAAUGUGGCCAGUUUAGGAUCUUGUCUGAGACACACUCGAUCAUAUUCAUUCAGGAGUCUUCUUGGUGUCCCACCAGGUGAUAUAAUGUACAAAUCAUGUUAAGAAGUCAACUCAGGCUACAGGCUUUCUUUAUGGUGUAUAAGCAUAGGAUUUAUUGGCCUCUCAUUAUCCCUGUGUCGUUGGACUAAUUACAUCAGUUGAUAGUAUAGACCUCAAAUUUCUCAUUUGCUAUAGUACCUGAUACUCUAUGGUUUUCUUUUACCUGCUAAUAAUUCAUAAAUUGUCGUUCAUUAAAAAUAUUCCUUUGAUGCACAGAUGAAUGCUUAUGAUGUCUUCUGACCUCUAUAAUUAUGCAGAUCUCUCUCCCUUUCUUAGUUUGGAAGUCCAUAUACUGAAAUGUUCCUUUGCUGACAAAGUGAGAUUUACUACAGUGAUCUGACCUAAAUCUCUGUUACAAUGGGACCACAUUACAACAUAACAUGUGGUUUCGGGCUAAAGAGGCAAAGUGGUUCUAAAAGCUGAUCCUUUUGAGUUCUAACUUCUUAAUGGAUGUCGAAAGAGGAAGAUGUGGCCACCUCCAUUAGAAAGUUUUGGUGCCAUGGUGGUUUAUGCCAUCAGCAAGCUACAGGGAAAAAAGGUUUAUGGUAAGGAGAUGCCUGCUAUCUUUCAGAUGAAGAUCAAUACUUAUUCUGUUUGGUUUCAGUUCCUCCAAGUAUUUGGUGUGGUCCUUGUUAUAUAUGGGAGAAUAUGGUAGGAGUUGGUUGUCAGCAAGUGACUGGAGAACAGAUAGGAAGCAUUGCUUUCAGAUUUUAGCUCUCCUGAAUCUUGUCCCAAUCAAAACUCCUGUAGCUGAAGCCUUCAUGUGCAGGUGUGCUGGUCAUGGGCAAGAAAUGAAGAAGGACCUGACCCGGGAUUUCGAGGUUCUGCAAUCUAGUAUGCUUUAUCUGCACCCAAUACUCUUUUGAGUUCAGAAUGGAUUGUCAAUUUCCAGACACUUGAACUUGAGCAAACUUGACUAUUUAUCUGUUGUCUUUGACACCGAAAGGCUGUGAUUCCAGUGGGCACGGAAUAGGGUUCCAGAAAGCAAGCCAGUUUUCUCCAACCCAACAAAACCACAAUGAUGAUGCCAACUUGCAAGAUAUUGGGGUUGCUGGACCACCUGAUCCCAGUUAGAGAUAAGUACAGAUCUAAAGAAUCUCAAAGAUAGAUCAUAUGAUGAUCUUGUUGUUCCCUGCAUCGUGUCAUGUGAAAAGAACAAGCUAAACCAUUUGCACAGAAACAUUCUUGACAUUGAAUUAUUGGCAUGCAGGAUAUAUGGUCAGGAAUGCAUUACCUAAAGAUCUCCACUAGUCAACUGUUCAGUUCUGCUGACAAGUCUAUUUCUCAUUGGUGGAUUUGCAAGUAGCAAAAAUGUGACAGACAAGUUCCAUCCUUGCUUCCAACUACACAGAUGAUUGCUGUUAAAGACCAGGAGGACUAUUGGUGCUCAUGGGAGCAACUGGCAAGCACAAUGUGGUAGUGUAGACCAGCACCUAGACUAAGACAACUAAACCUCAUCUGUGGAACAUAAUUUCCUAUCAAACUUCCAAGUUGCUCCAACACAAAAAUGACACCUUUGGAAAGCUGCACCAAUGGAUUUUGUUGGGGGAUGUGGCAUUGAAACUCAAUUCGGAGGAUUUUCUAAAGCAAAUGCAUACUGCCAAAUAAAAAUGAGUGGUUCUUUUGUUAACCUAAUCUAAGAAACAAAAGAUGCUGGUGUCAGAAAAGCAAGGAGAUGCCAUUCGAGUGGAGUUAAUUGAAUCCAAACAAAAGAGGGGACUGAGGAGACAAAUAAGAGUUAAAUAUCUGAAGGAAAAAGGAUGUUUUUUCUCACAGAAAAGGAAAUAAAAGGGAAGAAAACAGAGACGCAGCAGAUCGAUAGGAGAAUGCUAAUUACCAUGGCUGUACCAUGUACACUACUUGUACAUGAAAAGAUAUGUUAUCCUUUGCAGUUGUAUCCUAUUGUGGAUAAAAAGGAGAAAAAAGCAAAAUGAUUCCAGACAAGUUACUAUUUAGUCAAUGAGAUGUCGAACCGGAUGAUAA